CUCCCCGCACACUUCCCGCCUCCUGUCGCGGGGCAACCCUGACAUCAUUUACCCUAAGCAACUUCAGAAGACAAGCGGGGGAGGGGAACAGCUACCUGUUACAAAUGACAAAUGGAUUAAUAACACCCUUAACUUUCUAAAAGUCCCAUACAAACGGAAAACCCUCCAAUUCCCCAAUACGAAAUGGCCAAAGUUAACAGUAUCCAAAAAAGAAACUACAAAUGGUUGAUAAACAUCUGGGAAAAGACUGAACUCCAUUUCUGAUUAAAUAAAUGUAAAUGCAAUUGGCCAAAGUUAAAAACUGAUGAUCCCACAUCCUCCCAGACAGGCCGAAUUUUAAUUCCCGAAUCAAAUUAGCAGGGAGCCGGGCCCACUUACUUUGGCCCCACCCGAAGUCCACCGACAGCAUUCUGCCGCCCCCCCCGCCCCCCCCGCCGGUGACAAACCACUCAGGGACACGCACCACCACGUUUCUUGUGGGAAUGCUGCUGAGAGCCUCGUCCCUUAAGAAGGGCCCAGAAGAGUAAUUUCCUUAGGCCUCAGGAAGACCACGUGGCAUUUGUUUCAAGAUGGAGGUACCAUAAAAUCAAAUUUGACAAACCAUUCGAAUUCCAAAGGGCUUGGGCCGUUCCAAUUCAAGAAAUAAAGAAUUCCUAUACAAUAUGGAGAUAAUACUCAGCUAUAAACCAAAUGCAUUCUACGAUGUGUCUAUCUAUUCCAUAGACCUUCUUGAUGAAAAAGCUACUUUCAGAGAAGCUGCUCACACAAAACGUGGGGAAAGAAACCACGUCAACUACGUGCUGCUCAUUCUGGUGGAAGACAGAUAAAAUGUCCUAAUUUAUACGUCC